AGAGGCGAUGAAGGACGUGCUAAUCUGCGAUAAGCGUCGGUAAGGUGAUAUGAACCGUUAUAACCGGCGAUUUCCGAAUGGGGAAACCCAGUGUGUUUCGACACACUAUCAUUAACUGAAUCCAUAGGUUAAUGAGGCGAACCGGGGGAACUGAAACAUCUAAGUACCCCGAGGAAAAGAAAUCAACCGAGAUUCCCCCAGUAGCGGCGAGCGAACGGGGAGCAGCCCAGAGCCUGAAUCAGUGUGUGUGUUAGUGGAAGCGUCUGGAAAGGCGCGCGAUACAGGGUGACAGCCCCGUACACAAAAAUGCACAUGCUGUGAGCUCGAUGAGUAGGGCGGGACACGUGGUAUCCUGUCUGAAUAUGGGGGGACCAUCCUCCAAGGCUAAAUACUCCUGACUGACCGAUAGUGAACCAGUACCGUGAGGGAAAGGCGAAAAGAACCCCGGCGAGGGGAGUGAAAAAGAACCUGAAACCGUGUACGUACAAGCAGUGGGAGCACGCUUAGGCGUGUGACUGCGUACCUUUUGUAUAAUGGGUCAGCGACUUAUAUUCUGUAGCAAGGUUAACCGAAUAGGGGAGCCGAAGGGAAACCGAGUCUUAACUGGGCGUUAAGUUGCAGGGUAUAGACCCGAAACCCGGUGAUCUAGCCAUGGGCAGGUUGAAGGUUGGGUAACACUAACUGGAGGACCGAACCGACUAAUGUUGAAAAAUUAGCGGAUGACUUGUGGCUGGGGGUGAAAGGCCAAUCAAACCGGGAGAUAGCUGGUUCUCCCCGAAAGCUAUUUAGGUAGCGCCUCGUGAAUUCAUCUCCGGGGGUAGAGCACUGUUUCGGCAAGGGGGUCAUCCCGACUUACCAACCCGAUGCAAACUGCGAAUACCGGAGAAUGUUAUCACGGGAGACACACGGCGGGUGCUAACGUCCGUCGUGAAGAGGGAAACAACCCAGACCGCCAGCUAAGGUCCCAAAGUCAUGGUUAAGUGGGAAACGAUGUGGGAAGGCCCAGACAGCCAGGAUGUUGGCUUAGAAGCAGCCAUCAUUUAAAGAAAGCGUAAUAGCUCACUGGUCGAGUCGGCCUGCGCGGAAGAUGUAACGGGGCUAAACCAUGCACCGAAGCUGCGGCAGCGACGCUUAUGCGUUGUUGGGUAGGGGAGCGUUCUGUAAGCCUGUGAAGGUGUGCUGUGAGGCAUGCUGGAGGUAUCAGAAGUGCGAAUGCUGACAUAAGUAACGAUAAAGCGGGUGAAAAGCCCGCUCGCCGGAAGACCAAGGGUUCCUGUCCAACGUUAAUCGGGGCAGGGUGAGUCGACCCCUAAGGCGAGGCCGAAAGGCGUAGUCGAUGGGAAACAGGUUAAUAUUCCUGUACUUGGUGUUACUGCGAAGGGGGGACGGAGAAGGCUAUGUUGACCGGGCGACGGUUGUCCCGGUUUAAGCGUGUAGGCUGGUUUUCCAGGCAAAUCCGGAAAAUCAAGGCUGAGGCGUGAUGACGAGGCACUACGGUGCUGAAGCAACAAAUGCCCUGCUUCCAGGAAAAGCCUCUAAGCAUCAGGUAACAUCAAAUCGUACCCCAAACCGACACAGGUGGUCAGGUAGAGAAUACCAAGGCGCUUGAGAGAACUCGGGUGAAGGAACUAGGCAAAAUGGUGCCGUAACUUCGGGAGAAGGCACGCUGAUAUGUAGGUGAAGUCCCUCGCGGAUGGAGCUGAAAUCAGUCGAAGAUACCAGCUGGCUGCAACUGUUUAUUAAAAACACAGCACUGUGCAAACACGAAAGUGGACGUAUACGGUGUGACGCCUGCCCGGUGCCGGAAGGUUAAUUGAUGGGGUCAGCGCAAGCGAAGCUCUUGAUCGAAGCCCCGGUAAACGGCGGCCGUAACUAUAACGGUCCUAAGGUAGCGAAAUUCCUUGUCGGGUAAGUUCCGACCUGCACGAAUGGCGUAAUGAUGGCCAGGCUGUCUCCACCCGAGACUCAGUGAAAUUGAACUCGCUGUGAAGAUGCAGUGUACCCGCGGCAAGACGGAAAGACCCCGUGAACCUUUACUAUAGCUUGACACUGAACAUUGAGCCUUGAUGUGUAGGAUAGGUGGGAGGCUUAGAAGUGUGGACGCCAGUCUGCAUGGAGCCGACCUUGAAAUACCACCCUUUAAUGUUUGAUGUUCUAACGUUGACCCGUAAUCCGGGUUGCGGACAGUGUCUGGUGGGUAGUUUGACUGGGGCGGUCUCCUCCUAAAGAGUAACGGAGGAGCACGAAGGUUGGCUAAUCCUGGUCGGACAUCAGGAGGUUAGUGCAAUGGCAUAAGCCAGCUUGACUGCGAGCGUGACGGCGCGAGCAGGUGCGAAAGCAGGUCAUAGUGAUCCGGUGGUUCUGAAUGGAAGGGCCAUCGCUCAACGGAUAAAAGGUACUCCGGGGAUAACAGGCUGAUACCGCCCAAGAGUUCAUAUCGACGGCGGUGUUUGGCACCUCGAUGUCGGCUCAUCACAUCCUGGGGCUGAAGUAGGUCCCAAGGGUAUGGCUGUUCGCCAUUUAAAGUGGUACGCGAGCUGGGUUUAGAACGUCGUGAGACAGUUCGGUCCCUAUCUGCCGUGGGCGCUGGAGAACUGAGGGGGGCUGCUCCUAGUACGAGAGGACCGGAGUGGACGCAUCACUGGUGUUCGGGUUGUCAUGCCAAUGGCACUGCCCGGUAGCUAAAUGCGGAAGAGAUAAGUGCUGAAAGCAUCUAAGCACGAAACUUGCC
rnacentral:rRNA from 1 species